rnacentral:lncRNA from 12 species
CACAGGCCAGGUGAUUGUUGGGUCAGAAACUCAACUAGGGUAUCAUCUUGAGAGCUGGAGCUCACUGGGAGCCAUCCUUGGGGCCAACAGCUCGUUGUCCAUGUGCAGAAGGUCCAGCGUUGACACCUCCUUCUCUGUGUGGGUGAGAGAAUCCUCUGGGAACCAGCCUGGGGUGUUCCCCAGCCUCCCUUUGUGGUUGUCCCACCAGAAACAUCAGGAGCCUUCUGAUCAGAAGACAGCAACUAAAAUUAAGCAAUUCUGCUCCUCAACAACUUGCUGGCAAUACAGAGAUGUUAAUCAAAUGCAGUUUUCCAGCCAUAUUUGAAUCACGUACAGAGACAGACUGUGCAGAAUACUUGAAUGGCACCUGAUUUUCAGAACAUCCUCGUGUCCUUUCUGCUGCAAAUCAGGCUGCUCUGCUGAAAGGUGAAACAGAAGUCUCCC